CCAAUAGCGUAUAUUAAAGUUGUUGCAGUUAAAAAGCUCGUAGUUGAAUUUCGGGAUUUGUCAGUUGGUCGGGCUUCACUGUCCGUAUUGACUUGAUGGAUUCUUACCUUCUGAAUAACCAGCAUGCUAUUAAGUUAGUGCGUUGGGGAAGCAGAUCUAUUACCUUGAAAAAAUUAGAGUGCUUAAAGCGAGCUAGUGCUUGAAUAGAUUAGCAUGGAAUAAUAAAAUAGGACGGCAUGGUUCUAUUUUGUUGGUUUCUAGGAUCACCGUAAUGAUUAAUAGGGAUAGUUGGGGGCAUUAGUAUUCAAUUGUCAGAGGUGAAAUUCUUGGAUUUAUUGAAGACUAACUUCUGCGAAAGCAUUUGCCAAGGAUGUUUUCAUUAAUCAAGAACGAAAGUUAGGGGAUCGAAGACGAUCAGAUACCGUCGUAGUCUUAACCAUAAACUAUGCCGACUAGGAAUCGGACGAUGUUAAUUUUAUAAUGACUCGUUCGGCACCUUACG
rnacentral:rRNA from 1 species